UACGGAGGGUGCAAGCGUUAAUCGGAAUUACUGGGCGUAAAGCGCACGCAGGCGGCUUUUUAAGUUAGAUGUGAAAUCCCCGGGCUCAACCUGGGAACUGCAUCUAAUACUGCCAAGCUUGAGUCUCGUAGAGGGGGGUGGAAUUCCAGGUGUAGCGGUGAAAUGCGUAGAGAUCUGGAGGAAUACCGGUGGCGAAGGCGGCCCCCUGGACGGAGACUGACGCUGAGGUGCGAAAGCGUGGGGAGCAAACAGG
rnacentral:rRNA from 1 species